rnacentral:rRNA from 1 species
UACGUAGGUGGCAAGCGUUGUCCGGAAUUAUUGGGCGUAAAGCGCGCGUAGGCGGGAAGAUCAGUCUGUUGUGAAAUUGCGGGGCUCAACCCCGUAUUGGCAAUGGAAACAGUCUUUCUUGAGUGCAGGAGAGGAAAGCGGAAUUCCCAGUGUAGCGGUGAAAUGCGUAGAUAUUGGGAGGAACACCAGUGGCGAAGGCGGCUUUCUGGACUGUGUCUGACGCUGAGGAGCGAAAGCCAGGGGAGCGAACGGG